UCCGGCUUACACCGGCGGUCUCCUGUGAGUCCCCAUCUUUCAUGCUGGUAACACAGGACGAGGGUUGCGCUCGUUGGCGGACUUAACCGUACACCUCACGGCACGAGCUGACGACAGCCAUGCAACAAGUGUCUUCACGUCCCCUUGUGGGGGAGGGCCUAAUCUCUUAGGCUUACGAUCGAUGUCAAACCUGGGUAAGGUUCUUGGCUUAUCAUCCAAUUAAACAACACGCUCCACCGCUUGUGCGGGUCCCCGUCAAUUCCUUUGAGUUUUAAUCU
rnacentral:misc_RNA from 1 species